rnacentral:rRNA from 1 species
UACAGAGGUCCCAAGCGUUGUUCGGAUUCACUGGGCGUAAAGGGUGCGUAGGCGGUCGGGUAAGUCUGGCGUGAAAUCUCCAAGCCUAACUUGGAAACUGCGUUGGAUACUAUCCGGCUCGAGGAAUGGAGGGGAGACUGGAAUACUUGGUGUAGCAGUGAAAUGCGUAGAUAUCAAGUGGAACACCAGUGGCGAAGGCGAGUCUCUGGACACUUCCUGACGCUGAGGCACGAAAGCCAGGGGAGCAAACGGG